GAUGAACGCUGGCGGCGUGCCUAAUACAUGCAAGUCGAGCGAACAGACGAGGAGCUUGCUCCUCUGACGUUAGCGGCGGACGGGUGAGUAACACGUGGAUAACCUACCUAUAAGACUGGGAUAACUUCGGGAGACCGGAGCUAAUACCGGAUAAUAUAUUGAACCGCAUGGUUCAAUAGUGAAAGACGGUUUUGCUGUCACUUAUAGAUGGAUCCGCGCCGCAUUAGCUAGUUGGUAAGGUAACGGCUUACCAAGGCAACGAUGCGUAGCCGACCUGAGAGGGUGAUCGGCCACACUGGAACUGAGACACGGUCCAGACUCCUACGGGAGCCAGCAGUAGGGAAUCUUCCGCAAUGGGCGAAAGCCUGACGGAGCAACGCCGCGUGAGUGAUGAAGGUCUUCGGAUCGUAAAACUCUGUUAUUAGGGAAGAACAAAUGUGUAAGUAACUAUGCACGUCUUGACGGUACCUAAUCAGAAAGCCACGGCUAACUACGUG
rnacentral:rRNA from 1 species